rnacentral:rRNA from 1 species
UCCGUAGGUGGAUAAUUAAGUCAGGGGUGAAAGUCUGCAGCUCAACUGUAGAAUUGCCUUUGAUACUGGUUAUCUUGAAUUAUUAUGAAGUAGUUAGAAUAUGUAGUGUAGCGGUGAAAUGCAUAGAUAUUACAUAGAAUACCAAUUGCGAAGGCAGAUUACUAAUAAUAUAUUGACACUGAUGGACGAAAGCGUGGGGAGCAAACAGGAUUAGAUACCCUGGUAGUCC